GACGAACGCUGGCGGCGUGCUUAACACAUGCAAGUCGAACGGUAAGGCCCUGCUUUUGUGGUGUGCUCGAGUGGCGAACGGGUGAGUAACACGUGAGUAACCUUCCCUUGACUUUUGGAUAACUUCAGGAAACUUGGUCUAAUACCGGAUAGGAUCUCCUGCUGCAUUGUUGUUGUUGGUUACUUUCGGCGGUUGUGGAUGGACUCGCGGCUUAUCAGCUUGUUGGUUGGGUAGUGGCUUACCAAGGCUUUGACGGGUAGCCGGCCUGAGAGGGUGACCGGCAACAUUGGGACUGAGAUACGGCACAGAGUCCUACGGGAGGCAGGAGUGGGGAAUAGUGCACAAUGGGCGGAAGCCUGAUGCAGCAAAGCCGCGUGCGGGAUGACGGCCUUCGGGUUGUAAACCGCAUUCGCAUGUGACGAAGCGUGAGUGACGGUAAUGGGUAAAGAAGCACCGGCUAACUACGUG
rnacentral:rRNA from 1 species